UGGAUUAUUUACAACGCGACCAAUGAUAUUAACAACUUCAGGAUAUAUUUUUGACGAAUAU
rnacentral:tRNA from 1 species